GCAGUGGUGAGUGCGGGCCACAGAGACCCGACACGGGACUCUCCGCAGGCAGAGCAGCCUUGGGCCGACGCUCCCCAGCAAGCGUGUCCUGACUCAGCCGCCAUCACCUCGCCAAGGACUCUGUCCGCCCACAUCCUUCAGGUGUCUACUGAGACAGACGGAGGGCUCUGACAACAGACUGCAUGGGCUGCUACGGGCCGUUCAGUAGCCUCAACCGUCAGCACGGUGCGUGCCGGCCCUGCCUGCCGAGGCCAAGAUGGCUCUUGGAGGCUUUUUGCAGGGCAACACUGACGGUUCGUUUCUAAGCUGAUGACUGUUUAUGGCCCCCGAAUGAUGUUACAAAUAUCCUAAUGGUCCUUGGCAGGAAAAAGUGUCCCCACCCCUGCCCUGGAGCACGACCUGAAACUACCCAAACAUCCUCACACACGGCCCAGCCAAGUCUGCUCUCCUGGGGCAGUGACAUGCCUGCCAAAUGAGCUGUGCGGUACACCAAGCCAGACCUUGUCUGGAGCAGCCAAGAGGAGUGAUAUUGACGUGAGGCGUAGCGACCUGCUCACAAAUAAACAACGAUGACACAGACACGCUACAGUGUGUCCGCAGAGGCAGCCCUAAACAGACAUGACAGGCCUAGGCCUCUCUCCAGAACAGAACCACCUCCAAGAAUGACAGCUAAAGACCGUGCUCAAAAACCAGGAAGAAUCCAAUCCGUGUGUGCGCACAGAGCGAGCUCUUCUCUGGAGAAAAAUGGUGGCCUCACUGCACGUAGCUGACUGCGUCCAGUGAGGUGCUGGGUGACCAACGGCUGACUAAUCUUUGUACCUUUUACCUCAGACAUGGAUUCCUUCUUUAA